rnacentral:rRNA from 1 species
CCUACGGGGGGCUGCAGUGGGGAAUAUUGGACAAUGGGGGGAACCCUGAUCCAGCCAUGCCGCGUGUGUGAAGAAGGCCCUCGGGUUGUAAAGCACUUUCAGUGAGGAAGAACGCCUGGUGGUUAAUACCCAUCAGGAAAGACAUCACUCACAGAAGAAGCACCGGCUAACUCCGUGCCAGCAGCCGCGGUAAUACGGAGGGUGCGAGCGUUAAUCGGAAUUACUGGGCGUAAAGCGCGCGUAGGUGGCUUGAUAAGCCGGUUGUGAAAGCCCCGGGCUCAACCUGGGAACGGCAUCCGGAACUGUCAAGCUAGAGUGCAGGAGAGGAAGGUAGAAUUCCCGGUGUAGCGGUGAAAUGCGUAGAGAUCGGGAGGAAUACCAGUGGCGAAGGCGGCCUUCUGGACUGACACUGACCCUGAGGUGCGAAAGCGUGGGUAGCAAACAGGAUUAGAUACCCGUGUAGUC